CCCUCCGACACCUGCCAAUCAGUUAUCGUCUCCGUGGACGUGUGGCCUCGGUUGUUGUGCCUGCGCCCGCUGGGCCCUGACCUGUUCCUGCUGGACUCCUCCCCCCAGGCUGCCGGAUUAAUGGGCUGACUAACAGCAAGUCCACUGCAGCAUCACGCCACCCAGCCGGGACCUUCUGGACUGGACUGGACCGGACCAUGAAGACACCCGAGGAGGAGGAGGAGGAGGAAGAAGAAGAAGAGGAGGAGGAGGAGGAGGAGGAGGAGGAGAGUGUCCUGUCCGGAGUGAGGCUUGGAUGCAAGUGCAAUGCAGAGGAGGAAGAGGAGGAGUGAGGGUCUCUCUCACUCUCUCCCGCCCUCUCUCUCUCUCUCUCCCCUCCCUCUCUCCUCCUGCAGGUGCACGACAAAGGUCCUGUAUGAUCGUCCAGCUGAGCUCCAAACUCCUUCUCACCUCUGCCAGGUCCACCCUGAUCUCCUCCAGGAGGUCCAGCUUGGAGAGUUUUCGAUCGAUGGAUGAGAGAAGCUCGCCCCCGACCCCGGGGUCGCUGUGCACCGUGGGGGCAGAGUGACAUGGCUGAGGCGGGGCCGUGAUUUGUUCCCACAGCAGGUCAAAGUAGGUGUCAAUGAAGGCCUCCAGCUCCUCCAGGCUGGCGUGGUCCCACUGGAGGUGUCUAUGGCUGCAGAGGGAGCGCUCAAGGCUGGUAUUCCCACCUGGAAGCAUCCCAAGCCUGUCUGCACCUGCACCCGGCAUGGCGACCAAACAGGAAGUGGUAUUCUCUCUGUUCCACAUGGCAACAUCAGUCUGUCCUCUUUCCCGCCUUGUGUCCAGAAGCACGGCCUGUGUUUCAUCUGCUGCAUGGCUGACUGGACACGUGGAAGAAUCGCUGCAUGUCACUGCAACAACAACAAGAGCGUGUCACCGUGUGCAGUGGAUGAUCUUGUCAUGUGAUGAGAAGCAGCCAGCAUCUCCUCCACCUGCGUCACCAGCUGGACGACCUGCCCGCCAUCCUCGCUCCGCUUGUUGUCCAUCACGUGGUACCUGUUCCCGCACUUCUCCACAAGUCUCCGCAGGGCCGCUCCCUCGCUCUCGAUGCGUUGUUCGAUGCCGGUGUCACCCAGCCAGUCGCCGUGACUGAACAGGACCAGAGCUCUGCGCCAAGCCGAGUCCCCGCCCCCCUUCAGCUGAGCCUCCAGGGCGGCUCCUUGGCUCUCGGAGAACGAGGAGCUGGCGUUGACCACCAGCAGCACGGCACACGAUGUCCUCAGGAAGUCAGAGGUGACGCAGAAGCCUGCGGGCGUGUCCAGCACCGUCACUGCCCUGUCGCCUAUCCUGCCUCGUUCCAUGGCGCAGGAAGUGGUGUGGCGGUGGGCGGGGAAGCAGUCUCUGUCCAGGAUGGUGUUUCCACAGCAGCUCUUGCCUGUUUUCUUGCCGCUAACCAGCAGCAGUGUCACUUCUGUGAGGGGGCGGCGCUUCUCUGAAACAUCGACAAGCUGCUUUGAGCAGGACAUCACGGUGCUUGAUGGGGCGGUGCCACUUGCCACACCUGGUGCAGGUUUAUAAAUGAUACAGAGUGGCUUGGCUCACCAAGUUGCAUGCCGGCCGCCCUCCUCUGCCGCUCCUUCCUCAUCCGUCUGUCCUUGGCUCUCGUCGCCUCAGCGCUCAUUGUCCUCUCCAGCUCGUCCACGUCUGUCCUGUCAACCUUGUGAUGCCGACCACCGCAGGCCGCCACCAUCUCCUCAAUCUUCCCCACCAGCUCCCUCACUUGGAAGCCGUCUCCUCGGGUCCUGCUGUUGAGAACGUGGUAGCGGUUCCCGCAGCGGUGCACCAGCCAGCGCAGGGGCUCACCUUCGCUCUCGAUGUGCCGCUCAGUGGUCGCGCCCCCCAGCCAGUCUCCGAAGCUGAACAGCACCAUGACCCGACUCCAGAUGUUCCCACCCAGCAGCUCCAGGUGCUCCUUCACCGCCCUCCUGUAGGUCUCAGAGAAGGCCCGGUCCACGCGGAUCACCAGCAGGAAGGCGUGAGGACCGGGAGGACACAAGGACGGACUGAGCUGGAUUUGUCUCCUAUCGAAGAUGGCGGUCUCGUCGCUGAAGUAGUUCAUCCACCAGCCAGGGGUGUCCACCACCGUCACCUGUCUCCCGAACACCACACCUCUUCCUACCGCACAGCUGGAUGUUCUCCCGAAUGACCGGUCCUCCCGGCCCAGGAUGGUGUUGAGAGCUGACGUCUUUCCGGAACCUUUGGCUCCAAGCAGCACAAUCCUGACAUCAGUGAGAGGGCGCACCCGCUCUGGAAAGUACAGUCCUCACAUUUCAGCAAUAUCGUAUCCGGCCACAGAAUAAAACAGAUUACAGUAGUCAGCGUAGCAGCAACACACGUUAGUACACCCCACAGUAAACAUGAACCAACUCCCAUGCUGCCCCUCAACCCCCUAAUGCCCACUUAUAACCCUAACCCGAAACCUCAUCCUAGCCCUAAACCCUGACCCCCAACACGCAGUCUGCCCCAAUUAUCCUCAAACAACCAGAAGUAACCUGCCAGGAACAAUUCUGCCUUCCCCGGAAUUUUUGACACACAGCACAGAUGUACCUAACGUGCCCUCUAACCUUUCAUCAUGGAUCUCUGAGUCUUCAUCAUCAGAAGCCUGGCGUGAGCCGCCUCCUCCACGCGCGUCUUCUCCUCCACGAUGUUCCUGCAGACGCUCUCCGUCAGUUCAAACACUCGGUUUCCAUUUUCAGCGACCAGUGUCUGGAUGUUCUCCACCAGCUCCGAGGCUUCAUGUCCACCGCUCAAGCUGAGACAUCUCUGCCCACACUUGCUCAUUAGCCAGCGUACCGCCACCCCCUCCGGGACCUCCUGGGCCCCCUUGUCCGUCGAGGUGAAGACCACCAGACAGUGACUCCACACCCGCUCCCCCAGGAGACCCACAUGCUCCUCCAGGGCCCGGCGACGCCUCUCAGUGAAGUCCGAGCUGGACUUGACCGCGAUCAGGAAGACGUGCGGGCCUGGGGAGCAAAGGGGGACGCUCGCCUGGAUCUCCCUCCUCACAAGCCGUGUGGUCUCUUCUGCAGUAAAGUCGCACCACCAGCCGGGGGUGUCCACCACCAUCAGCCAGCAUCUGCUCACCAGGGAAACCCUCCUGGAGCAGGACGUCCUCUCCUUGGUGGCAAACUCUUCUUUGCCCAGGAGAAGAUUUCCUAAGGAGCUCUUCCCUGAGUUCCUGCCGCCCAGAAGGACGAUCUUUAACUGGGACGGACACCAGCCCUCCACUGACAUGGAAAAAAACGCAGCCGUAGCAGGGAAGCCCAGACUUCCAUCUCUUUGGCCACUUCAUCCACCAACUCCUUCCGGUGGAUCCCGAGGCGUUGCCAGGCCACAUGAGAAACAUAGUCUCUCCAACAUGUCCUGGGUCUUCCACGAGGCCUGCUACCGGUCGGACGUGCCCUGAACACCUCUCCAGGGAGGCAUCUUAGCCUGGCUCCUCUCAAUGUGGAGAAGCAGCGAUUCUACUUGGAGUUUCUCCCGGAUGACACUGCGUCUCACCUUAUCUCUAAGGGAGAGCCCCGCCACACUAAGGAGAAAACUAAUUUCAGCCACUUGUACUCGUCAGCUUGUCCUUUCAGUCACUACCCAAAGCCCAGGACUAUAGGCCAUCUAUGGCCAUGCUUUUUUCAUGUAAUUGCAUAAUAGGUUUUGGUUUUUGAUGAAAAUCUUUGCCAAAAAUGUGUCUUGGUUUUCAUACGGUCAAACAAAACAUCCUCGCCUUGUGGUGGUUCUUUUAGAGUUGGGACACUAUAGACAGAUUCUGGCAAGGGAAUCCUUUAAUCAUCUGUAUUGCACUGUAGAACUUUGAUUAAAGAAAGUGAGAAACACAAAAGAAGUUGUAGCAAAGUACAAAGGUUAUAAUAAAGAUAGAAAGCCGUAACACAGAUUGCAGGGGGAACGGUUUUAGGGUGACACAUAACAAAAGUGAGCCAAGCCAGUGUGUGUAAUGAUGAUUGUGCCUGCUGCUGAAAUGUACUAUCAAGUUCAAGUCUUCAGUGGUGUUUUAUAUGUAUUUUGCAUUGUGUUCUGCCUGUACAACUAUAAUUAUUCUCUAAAAUGUGUUUUUGUUCAAAUUCCUGGCUGUCUGGAACAGAUUCAUCGCAUUUACAUUAUUUCCUACAGAAAGAAAUUGCUUUGGUUUUUGGACAUUUCGGUUUUCAUCUGACCUCCUGGAGCGGAUUAAUGAUGAAAACCGAGAUUCUGCUUAUUAGGAUCUUGUAUUGGCCCAUUAAUGGUAACAUUCAACCUAAACACAUACAACCUGGCUAAUAAGUGUGCACACGUGUCUUAUGUACAGCAGGGGUCACCAACGUUUUUCCUUGUGAGAGCUACUUUUACAAAAUGAAAAUGGCCAAUAGCUACUCAUUUUUGUAACAUUUAUUUUCAGAGCUUAUUUUAAACCCAAACAAAGCGAAUAUGCUUGUUUUACCAGAACAUGAACAAAAUGCUGGUGUCCACAACUCACAUUUUGUAUUUCAGAAUGCAUUUCUUUCUACUGUUCUUUCAUUAUUAACUGAAAACCUGAAUGAAAAGCAGGCUUGCGGGCACCUCAUGUGGUCGUGGGGGGCUACCCGCUGUACAGUAUGUGCUGGCUGGUGUCACUCACCCACUUCUACUGUUCUAGAAAAAAGAUCAAGUCAUCUCAGGGCAAUUUGAUGAUACAGCAGCAUGAUUGCUUUUGGUGAGGUCGUAAUAACAGAAGGCCUCACAGUAAAUGUGCAUCUUCCACUUUAAAUUGUGUGGAACGCAAGCUUGUAAAAAGGGAGUCACACAGACAUACAACAGCCUGCAGUUGUUUAUUUUACUUUAUAAAAAGAUCAAACCCUUACAAGAACCACUUUUUAGACACAUUUUCAUGCCGUUUCACACUGCUCCUGGUGUCUAUUUAGAUGACAUUUCAGUGCAAUGGCAUUAAAAUUGGACGUAAGAUUCAUUUUGUAAACGGCACCAAUGUGAUUGUAUUUUCAGCUAGCAAACUUUGAUUGCGUGACUUUCAAGCUGAUUUAAUGUCGACUGAGUGAAAAUUGGAGGGUGUGGGGAAAAAAGGUGAGGAAUAAUGAGUUAAUAAGGCAAAUCACGUGUUGCAAGCGUGUUGCAUUCACGUUUCUCAGAAACAGCUAACUGUCGCGUUUCAUGAGAAUUUGUGAACAUUUGUAUAAUCUGAACCAAGAUACAGAUACAAAUCCAAGCAUCCACAUUUCACAGCGAUUUACUG